AGAUACUUAGAAAUCAUCUGGUCCAAGCCCCCGGCUCAGAGAUGAGGACAGGGAGCCCCAGAGACCACUCGACUUGACCAAGGACACAGGAGGCUCAGGGCAGACCUGGGAGUCUCUGGGACGUGCUUGGACCUGGGCCUGUGGGACAAGGAUGAAAUCAUCAACACUGGACCCACCCUAACUCUGGUGAAAUAGGACAAGUUCUGGUCAAGAGUGGGCACUUGGACAUUGUGCCAGAGUGACAGAUCACUUGAGUUCAGAAGCAGGAAGUUUGCAAAUUCUGUUGUGGACACCAGUGCAUGUAGGUCCCUGGAAGGCACACGCUCUCUGACAUUUCCUAGAGACUGCAAUGCUUUAACUCAAGAAAGAAAUUCCUCCUAGCAAAAUCACCCUUGGGAGAGAAUGUUGGUGAGGGACCCUUGAGCAGACAAGCCAGGUACCCCCAGGCUACCUCCACAUGCACCUGGCCCUGCAGUUGAUUUGGUCUUC
rnacentral:lncRNA from 1 species